CAUCUGCUUAGAACAAAUGUGGCUGGACAAUGUGAUAUUCUAAUUCCACAGAUUGAGUAAUUCAAGAAUUUCAGAGAUGCAACAAGGACGGAAUUACUGUCCUCAUUCUAGCUUUAGAAGGCAGGCAUGCAAGUACCUAGAGAAAGAGAACAGAUGAAAGCUGGCAGCCUCUUCAUUUACAGACAGUACAAUUUUCUGAAUUUAGCAAGACUCUUCCUUUCCCCCAAGAACGCUCUAUGACAUCUCUUAAAAGAAGAAGAAAAGGAAAUGUACCAAAUUAUGUUUACAGGCUGGUGGAGAGAACACAUCUAAGUGGAGUGAGGCCUUGCUUUUUCUUCAGGAAUCCCAAGGGUGUAUCAAACCUGUGAAUAUGAAGAUGUCUGUCUUGUGAGUAAAUUAUAUCAUAUAGCAAAAUUGGACUUUUGUCAAAUGUAAGUUUGAUUCCUGUAGUCAGCUGACUUUGGGCCAAUCAGAAGUGGGAUUAUCCUGAGUGAGCCUGACCUAGUCAGGUGAAACCUUUGAAAAAGGGUUCAGGAAUAAGAAAUGCUCUCUGCCAUUGAAUUUGAACAAGAAAGCCACACUGAGUUAUAUAGCUGCAAAGAAAGAAUAUUCCAGUAACCAUAUCCGCCUGCGAGAAUCUGAAGGCUCAGAGGAGAUGCAGCUCUGAUUCACACCUUGAGCACUGCCUUGUCAGAUCCUGAGCAGAGCACCCUGCUAAGCAGAGUUCAGACUUUUGACCUACAGAAACUGUGGGAUAAUAAAUGACUGUUUUAAGUUGCUAAGUUUGAGAUAAAUUGUUAUACUGCAAUAAAAAACGUAUGUACUUACUUGAAUAAAUAUUCUGAGGGUGGGAAGAUAAAAAUACAUAUGAAAAUGCUUUUAUUAAAAGAAGAAUGAAAAUUCAUUGAUUAGUCAACCUAAAAGUGUUUUAGCUGGUAGAGUUUCUUUCCCUACAACUGGCUCUUAUUCUUAAGAGUUAAGUGUGGUUUAAGAUUGAGCAGACCAUCAAAUGAGGGCAUCAAAUGGCCAUUGAGUACUGUGGCAGAGAAAAAAAAAAAUCUCUCUUUAUAUCACUUAAUUAUCACUGUGAAAUUAUUAUUGGUUUCCUAAAGAGAGGAAAUGAGCUAUUUUGGUCAGAAUUGGACUUCUAUUUGUUGACAAAAGUUAUCGGUUAACUGUCCAUUUUUGAGGUACAACUGUAUAACUUAUGC